rnacentral:rRNA from 1 species
GGAUAACCUGCCCUUGGGUCCGGCAUAACCCCGGGAAACUGGGGAUAAUUCCGGAUAACGCACAUAUGCUGGAAUGCUUUAUGCGUAAAAUGGAUUCGUCUGCCCAAGGAUGGGUCUGCGGCCUAUCAGGUAGUAGUGGGUGUAAUGUACCUACUAGCCAACAACGGGUACGGGUUGUGAGAGCAAGAGCCCGGAGAUGGAUUCUGAGACAUGAAUCCAGGCCCUACGGGGCGCAGCAGGCGCGAAAACUUUACAAUGCGGGAAACCGUGAUAAGGGGACACCGAGUGCCAGCGUCAUACGCUGGCUGUCCAGGUGUGUAAAAUACACCUGUUAGCAAGGGCCGGGCAAGACCGGUGCCAGCCGCCGCGGUAACACCGGCGGCCCGAGUGGUGAUCGUGAUUAUUGGGUCUAAAGGGUCCGUAGCCGGUUUGGUCAGUCCUCCGGGAAAUCUGAUAGCUCAACUGUUAGGCUUUCGGGGGAUACUGCCAGACUUGGAACCGGGAGAGGUAAGAGGUACUACAGGGGUAGGAGUGAAAUCUUGUAAUCCCUGUGGGACCACCUGUGGCGAAGGCGUCUUACCAGAACGGGUUCGACGGUGAGGGACGAAAGCUGGGGGCACGAACCGGAUUAGAUACCCGGGUAGUCCCAGCCGUAAACGAUGCUCGCUAGGUGUCAGGCAUGGCGCGACCGUGUCUGGUGCCGCAGGGAAGCCGUGAAGCGAGCCACCUGGGAAGUACNGCCGCAAGGCUGAAACUUAA